CUUCCAUUCUACGAUCUUUUGUUUUCCCGGUUACCUUUUCCAGCGAGGAAGAAGCAGCGCGCAGGAAGGCGGCCGCCGACAUUGUUGUUGACGGGAAUAGGGGCCGAGGGGGAAAUGGAAAACGAAACACCAACGCACAGGCGAGCGAGGCGACCACAGAGCAGGCCAAAUCAAAAGCGACCGCCGAAGACGAGCCAUUUUUGCCUUCUGUGCGCUGCCCAGUCGUAAAAGCGGGUAUUUUCUGAUAUUCGGGUAAACGCUUUCGAACUAAAAUACGCACCAACUUCGAUUAAAACUACAAUUAAACGCGGAAAAGCGAGGAAAACGCGAAACGCGCCCAGCACGAAAGAGCGCGAAGAGUGGAAUGAAGCGGAGGACGAAAGAGAGCGAGCGCGUAGGCGCGGGAGGGAGAUGGCGCUACUUCCAGCGAAGAUGGACUGUCACUUAGGAGCAACAACAAGCAAAGCUGCACUCAGCUGUUAUUCCAAUAAAAAAUCAACUUCAAUUGGAAAAUUGCGACACACGAAGCAAAACAAAGCGCCGAAAAUAAACAAAUGCAUCUCGUCGAAA